rnacentral:lncRNA from 1 species
CAUGUGUGCAUGUAUGUGUACACGCGUGUGUGUGACAGGGGGUGGAGGGACUGCUGGCUAGUCCCCUGUUGUCUUCUCAUCCCUUUCUCCCUUUGCUGGCCUUGGCAGAUUCCUCCUCUAGUUUCUCCUGUAACCUCUUUACCUUAUGUCUCCACAACUGAGAGUCCUAGGUGGCAGGACCACAGGGCUUCCCAAAACCACAGCCCCUUUCAUCCAAGGACCCCAGGAGUCUGGCAGUCAGAGCCCAAGGUCCAGUCUUGGCUGUCUAACCUCAACAAGCCCAAGGCCUAGGUUUCCAGAGCUGAAUAGUGGCAGAUCUUUUGACCUUAACCCUCCCUCAGUCCCAUGUUUUGGGGACCCCAACAGUGUGAGGAGGAUAAGCCAUAGAGCAGAUGGCACUCCAGGCCCUGCUGUCCUCACAGGCCUGACCACCACUUCCUGGAGGCCAUCUGCUGCUUCCCCAUGGUCUACUACAUGGAGGGAUCCGUGGACAACCUGGACAGCUUGCUGCAGUGUGGCAUCAUCUAUGCUGACAAUCUGGUGGUGGUGGACAAGGAGAGUACCAUGAGCGCUGAAGAGGACUACAUGGCAGAUGCCAAGACCAUUGUCAACGUGCAGACCAUGU